GUCUCAUAAAGAGUGACGGAGGGAAUAGGCCCUGUGAAGUCCGGCAACCUGCUAGCAAGGUGCCAAAUCCUACAGCGCAGCUGAAAGAUGAGAA
rfam:Anaerosphaera sp. HMSC064C01 Anaerosphaera_spHMPREF2800-1.0_Cont7.1, whole genome shotgun sequence.